rnacentral:rRNA from 1 species
GACGAACGCUGGCGGCGUGCUUAACACAUGCAAGUCGAACGGAAAGGCCCUGCUUGCAGGGUACUCGAGUGGCGAACGGGUGAGUAACACGUGGGUGAUCUGCCCUGCACUUCGGGAUAAGCCUGGGAAACUGGGUCUAAUACCGGAUAGGAGCCAUUUUUAGUGUGAUGGUUGGAAAGUUUUUUCGGUGUAGGAUGAGCUCGCGGCCUAUCAGCUUGUUGGUGGGGUAAUGGCCUACCAAGGCGGCGACGGGUAGCCGGCCUGAGAGGGUGGACGGCCACAUUGGGACUGAGAUACGGCCCAGACUCCUACGGGAGGCAGCAGUGGGGAAUAUUGCACAAUGGACGCAAGCCUGAUGCAGCGACGCCGCGUGGGGGAUGACGGCCUUCGGGUUGUAAACUCCGUUCGCUAGGGACGAAGCUUUUUGUGACGGUACCUAGAUAAGAAGCACCGGCUAACUACGUG